CGUAGGGUGCGAGCGUUAAUCGGAAUUACUGGGCGUAAAGCGUGCGCAGGCGGUUUUGUAAGACAGAUGUGAAAUCCCUGGGCUCAACCUGGGACCUGCAUUUGUGACUGCAAGGCUAGAGUACGGUAGAGGGGGAUGGAAUUCCGCGUGUAGCAGUGAAAUGCGUAGAUAUGCGGAGGAACACCGAUGGCGAAGGCAAUCCCCUGGACCUGUACUGACGCUCAUGCACGAAAGCGUGGGGAGCAAACAGGAUUAGAUACCCUGGUAGUCCACGCCCUAAACGAUGUCAACUGGUUGUUGGGUCUUUACUGACUCAGUAACGAAGCUAACGCGUGAAGUUGACCGCCUGGGGAGUACGGCCGCAAGGUUG
rnacentral:rRNA from 1 species